rnacentral:lncRNA from 1 species
CCCCGUACCUUUUCCUAGCUUGAAAUCAUCUAAAAAAUGUUAGGAGCUUUCUUUGAAAGAUGAAUCCACUUUUGUACAUGUGGUAUUUUUAAGAUUUUCACUUUUUGUCAUGUCGAAAAUUCAAUAAGCUUUCCAUCGAUAUAAAAUUCGCCUAAAUUCGAUAACCAGGUAAGAAGUUAUGACUAUUUCAAGUUUCCGUCAU